GCCCCCGUAGCUCAGUAUGGAUAGAGCAGCGGUUUCCUAAACCGCGUGCCGCGUGUUCGAGUCACGCCGGGGGCA
rnacentral:tRNA from 1 species